CCCGGAUUCAUUUGAAUGACGGACAACAUCACGGUAAAUGGGAAUGAAGCGUGAUUUAACAGCAGAAUGAGCUUUUCACGGCAAAAACAAAGUUUUGGGGUAAUGUACCAGGUUCCAGUACAUCCUACAUGAUUGAUACACUAUCCAGGCCUGGAGCCUUACUGUUUGAAUCCGUACACCCCACAGAACAUCUAACAUUUACAGGUGUCCAUCCCGUCCUGUGUUAGACAUGCCAGGAGUUUCCUGAUCCAGCUGGUCACUGCUUUGGUCUCCAGCUGCCCCUUGGCUGAAGUGAGAGUCGUGCUCCUGAGGCUGAGGCUACGGAGGUGGAUGAAUGAGAUCACGAUGAUGUCACCCAUUUUUUGAUUGCCACCUUUUGUGUCAAAAAUAUCAGUUCAGUAUUCAGUUACAAGUUGAAACCUUUGACCAAAAAAAUCCAUCCUAACUCAAGCUAAUAAGAUUAAGACAUUUUUGUCUUCCUCAGUGGAUGUAUGGUUGGUGAUGUCACUCAUUUGUUUGACUGCAACCUUUUGAGUAAU